rnacentral:lncRNA from 1 species
ACAAAUAGCACAAUAAACAUCCUUCCAUAUGCUUCCUUGUGCAUAGGUGUGACUGCUUCUUUACACAUUUACAUCACAUGCUUUGUGCUGAAGUAUGUUAAGGGGCAAAAGGACUAUAAAUUUACCAUCUGCUCUAAGACUUUUUGGCCAUAAAGACCGCAGUUAAAACUAUGUUAAUAGCUCAGUUCUGACAAGAAUGAUUCCUUAAUUUUCAUGUCUUAUAGGGUAAGUUAAUUAAAUCCAUUAAGGCUAUUUUAUCACUCCAUAGGCUACUCAGGUUU